GCUACCUGCAGUCGACGGGCACUUCGGUGCUAGUGGCAGACGGGUGAGUAACACGUGGGAACGUACCUUUCGGUUCGGAAUAAUCCAGGGAAACUUGGACUAAUACCGGAUACGCCCUUCGGGGGAAAGAUUCAUCGCCGAUAGAUCGGCCCGCGUCUGAUUAGCUAGUUGGUGAGGUAACGGCUCACCAAGGCGACGAUCAGUAGCUGGUCUGAGAGGAUGAUCAGCCACAUUGGGACUGAGACACGGCCCAAACUCCUACGGGAGGCAGCAGUGGGGAAUAUUGGACAAUGGGCGCAAGCCUGAUCCAGCCAUGCCGCGUGAGUGAUGAAGGCCUUAGGGUUGUAAAGCUCUUUUGUCCGGGAAGAUAAUGACUGUACCGGAAGAAUAAGCCCCGGCUAACUUCGUGCCUGCAGCCGCGGUAAUACGAAGGGGGCUAGCGUUGCUCGGAAUCACUGGGCGUAAAGGGCGCGUAGGCGGACUCUUAAGUCGGGGGUGAAAGCCCAGGGCUCAACCCUGGAAUUGCCUUCGAUACUGAGAGUCUUGAGUUCGGAAGAGGUUGGUGGAACUGCGAGUGUAGAGGUGAAAUUCGUAGAUAUUCGCAAGAACACCAGUGGCGAAGGCGGCCACUGGUCCGAUACUGACCCUGAAGCGCGAAGCGUGGGGAGCAAACAGGAUUAGAUACCCUGGUAUCCACCCCGUAAACGAUGAAUGCCAGCCGUUGGGUGCAUGCACUUCAGUGGCGCAGCUAACCCUUUAAGCAUUCCGCCUGGGGAGUACGGUCGCAAGAUUAAAACUCAAAGGAAUUGACGGGGGCCCCCCCAAGCGGUGGAACAUUUGGUUUAAUUUCA
rnacentral:rRNA from 1 species